rnacentral:rRNA from 1 species
ACUGCUCAGUAACACGUGGAUAACCUGCCCUAAGGAAGGGGAUAACCUCGGGAAACUGAGGAUAAUACCCUAUAGGUUACAGACGCUGGAAUGCCCUGUAACCGAAAGUUCCGGCGCCUUAGGAUGGAUCUGCGGCCGAUUAGGUUGUUGUUGGGGUAACGGCCCAACAAGCCGAUAAUCGGUACGGGUUGUGGGAGCAAGAGCCCGGAGUUGGAUUCUGAGACAUGAAUCCAGGCCCUACGGGGCGCAGCAGGCGCGAAACCUUUACAAUGCGGGAAACCGUGAUAAGGGAACCCCGAGUGCCUGUAUAUGCAGGCUGUCCAGGUGUCUAAAAAACACCUGAAGAAAGGGCCGGGCAAGACCGGUGCCAGCCGCCGCGGUAAUACCGGCGGCUCGAGUGGUGGCCACUUUUAUUGGGCUUAAAGCAUUCGUAGCUGGGUUGUUAAGUCUCUUGGGAAAUCUGACGGCUCAACCGUCAGGCGUCCAAGGGAUACUGGCAAUCUUGGAACCGGGAGAGGUGAGGGGUACUUCGGGGGUAGGAGUGAAAUCCUGUAAUCCUCGAGGGACCACCUGUGGCGAAGGCGCCUCACCAGAACGGCUUCGACAGUGAGGGACGAAAGCUGGGGGAGCAAACCGGAUUAGAUACCCGGGUAGUCCCAGCCGUAAACGAUGCGCGUUAGGUGUAUCGGUGACCACGAGUCACCGAGGUGCCGAAGGGAAACCGUGAAACGUGCCGCCUGGGAAGUACGGUCGCAAGGCUGAAACUUAAAGGAAUUGGCGGGGGAGCAC